rnacentral:lncRNA from 1 species
GGAAAAGAGACAAGAAAACUCCAUUUUUACACCUUGAGUUCUUGGUUGAAUCUUUGAAGUUUCACUCAAAGUUGCAAACUACUCCAUAAAAAGUGACCACAAGGAAGGAUUAAGGGCUUUGGUGGAGAGGUUUGGAGAGAGAAGAAGCUUUUGGCUGCACUUGUUCAUAAGGUUUUAAGGUAACCAUAUCAAGAAAACCACCACUUCUUUUAUUACUUGCACAUGAGUGGAUUUAAAGUUGAUCUUGGUAGAUUUCAUGGAAAAUUUCAUGGUUAGUGUAGUGAAUCAAAAUUUCCAGCUUUAGUUGAGGAAUUUCAGUUUUAAUAUACUAAGAUCAGGUUUUCAAUGAAUUAUUAGCCUUUCCAUGUGAUUUUUCCAGCUUUUAUAUGUGUUAUUAGCUUCCUUAUAGAAAUUCCAGCUUGUAGAGGGGGAAUUGCAGCAUAGGAUUUGUGUUUUUCAACCUUGGCAUGAUGUUAUAUAUGAGCUGGAUAAUUGUCUAUUUUGGAAGGUUUUAUGGUUUGAAAUAAGUAGCUUUUAUAGCCUAUAAUUUGUCGUCUUGAUUUGGAUGGAUUUGCCAUGAGGUUGUGUGUUGAAUUUGGAGGAAAGUUGAGGACAAAACAAGGGUGAUGCUGUCCGAAUUUUGGGACAGUUUGCUACCUUUACUUAUGGAUGUUUUCAUGAUAAACUCGCUUAAGAUACUUGGUAAACCUAUAAGCUUUACUUAUAUGUUGAAUUUUGGUUGAAACAGAAGGGUUUUCAUUGGUUUUUUUUUUUUUUUCCAAAUUGCUGGCUGAGAUUGUGCUUGUUGGCCGAGUGAUAGUGCAGCCUGUUUACCCUGUUGUUUUCCCGACCUUUUCAUAAUUGGUUUUGGCCAAAACUUGUUCCAAACAUUCGUUAGGACUUUGGUAUGUGAAUUUGAGUGAAAACCACGAAAGUUGGAAGGUGAAAAACCUAAGGAUUUUGCUUGUUUCAUGGCUGCGAAAUUUCUGGUUGGAAUGGCAGAUUUGUAUUUUACUGCCUUUUAGCCUCAAAGUCUUUAGUUUUGGAAGUCUUUGGACAUAAUCUUGCUGACUUUACUUGCUAAAACCUUAAACAACAAUUGUAUGUUGAAUUGGAGUGGAAAGUGAAAGGGUUUAAGAGGUGAACUACCUUGUUUUCUUCAUUGUUUUGUUGCUCGAAAUUUCUGUAGGAGCUCUGCAUAGCUUUGGGAAAUUGGUUAUAACUUUGUGUAGAAAAGUCAAAAUUGAGUUCUAUUUAUUGCGUUUGAAACUAGAUUCAGAGUACUUUCUACUGUGAAAAUUUUAGAAUUUUUCUGAAUUCUUAUAAAUAUAUGUGAUUUUCCAAAUUUUACUGAAUUUUCACAAUUGCUCUGUCUUUCUACUGGAUGAAGCAGCAAAUUGAGGUUGGAAUUUGACUAACUUGUGGAUAGAAUCUUAAAAAUGUGUCUUCUGGGAAAUUAUAAUCCUUUGAAUCUAUUUUCCAAUAGUAUAAAGUUUAUAAAUUUUGGACUUAAGAAGAUUGAGAUAUGAUUUUUCAAAUAGCAUCGCGCAAUUCUUCAAAAGUUGUUCUUGCUUUCAUUUCCAACUUCAAGUUGGAGUUGUAAGAACCAUUUUGUACUUGGUUUUAUGAUUGGAAUUGAGAUAACUUGGCUAGUUGGAAGUGUUUUCCUUUGAAUAUAGUAGCUUGGAGUAGUGGAACUCAUGGCACUUUACAUACUUGAUUUUUAGACUUGAAGGUGAGACGGAAGUGCUCGUGAGGCAAACACUUAAGUUGGUUGCCAUGGUGAGUGUUCCAACUGCAUGUUUCGUGCUCGCUCAUUGUUGCAUGUACUAGCAAUUUGAUUUACAAAUAACCUGUAUCUGGACUUGAAAUGCUUGAAAACAUGGUAUGUUGAGCUUACUUGUGACUUGAUCCUGUCUAGGCAAGUGUGCUCUUAUGUACACUCAAUCUCUGUGAACUUGAAUUACAUGAUCUUGCAUGUGAAUUUGCAUGUAUACGUGUGUGCAAAUGUAGGCCGACUGUAUUUCUCUUACAGCGGUUAUACAUACAUGAUUUGUAGGCCGGUUGUAUUUUUCUUACAACGGUUGAACUAGGCCCUUGGACCCUUAUCCGAAACGUCGUAUAAGUGAAAACUUGGAUUACUCAUGCGUAUGCGUGAAUGUAGGUCGGUAACGGCUGAAUUGAGCUCUUGUUUGACCUCUUGCUUUAGACGCAGCUUCAGAGCGGUCUGGUAAGUUGGGUAACCUUGGGCAAAGGACAAGUUCUUAACCUGUUUACUCCUGACUGGAAUUCAUGAUUUGAACUCUGAUAUUUCUUAAUACGGAACAUUAAAUGACAACUAACGUCUCCAAUUAUUAACUGCGUGAGCGUUGGAUAAUAACCAACGACUCCACUCGUGAAUACCUGAAUACUUGGGCUAUAAGUCAGAUCUUGAAUACCUGAAUAUCUAGGGCUAUAAGCCUAAUCCCAUGGCUAGUUGAUCAAAUUGAGCCGGUAAGAGGUUGGUCGAGGAGAUUGACAAACCAUAGGUACUUUUGGUGUUCGGGCCCGGUAAGGGGAUAUCGGUUGACGGAGAUUGACGUUUAGUGGUGAUCUACGGAUAUUAUAAUUUCUUGGUUGACGGAGAGUCAAUGGACCCCGCACAAGCAGCUGUGGAACCUGUUCCUGAGAGCAGCCUAUAUUUUUUUUUGAUAUAAAUGCAUUCUUUAACGUAUAUUAAUGCAUGAUCUACCUGGUUACUUGAUUACUAAGCCAUAUGUCACGGUCUGCUUGAGUAUGACUUGUUUUUCGAUAUCCUGUGAAUAGUAUCAUGUAUGCAAGUUUACUUGCCUGUUUUCUUGGAAUCUCACUGGAUUUUUAGCUCAUUUUAUGAAUUUUUUUUCCUUACAGGGAUAAGGACAUGAGAGAUUGAAUUGGGAAAGGCCUAGAUUUCAUCAAAGUUUGUUAGUUGCUCAUGCGAGUACUCCAUAGAUGUCUAGCUCGCUUGUUUGGUUUGAUUUUUUGUAAAUUUGACUCCUUGGCUAUAUUUAUAGACUGUGUGGGCUUUGCAGGUCCAUGAGCGUAUACAUUGAAGGUUGUAAUUGAUGCGAAACUUUAUUAUUGAGGUUAUUUAUAAAUUUCAUGAUACGUGACUGAGUUUUGGCGAAAGUUGGGCAGGCGGUCCACCAAAUCCUUGGGUACGCCCUAGGAGGUGUGACGGUCCCACUUCCGUCUAGGGUGUACUCUAAAAGUUAGUGGAUCGUCUGCCUAACUCUUGCCAGGACUCAUUAAUUUCAC